rnacentral:lncRNA from 1 species
UUUUAGUUUUUUUUUUAAGAACAUCCAUACUUUUCUCCAUAGUGCUUAUACUAAUUUACUUUCCCACCAACAAUGUACAGGUUCACCUUUCUCUGCAUCCUCACCAGCAUCCACUUUUGCCUGUAUUUAGGUGUGUUUUUUUUUUUUUUUUUUGAGGCGGGGGGGAAUUACUGCCUAUAUUUUGGAUAAAAGUCAUGUUAAUUGGAUGAGAGGUUAUCUCUUUUUCAGAUUGUUCCCUGUUGGUGUAUAUAAAUGCUAAUGAUUUUUGUAUGUUGAUUUUGUAUCCUAAAGCUUUACUGAAUUCGUUGAUCAGUUCUAAAUGUUUUUUGGUGUAAUCUUUAGGUUAGAAAAAAACUCUUAAAGCAGGCCUGUGGCAAGAAGGCCCAGAAAAGUUAAGCGGUCUGAUUAAUGUUAUUCAGCUAAUAAAUGACAGAGAAGCAAGCAGGCUCUUCCUGUUUUCCUAUACAGUUCCUCAUAUACUAUACUACGUCUUGUAAAACAAAAUAGGAAAUGUCUUCUCAGUGUUUAGUUCAAAGAAUACUGAUUUCCAAAACUACUAACUAGAAGAAAAAAACUGGGUGAAUUCAAAUUUUGCAACAUGCUAUUUUAUUAAAUGAGUUUUCUGGACUAUAACUUUUGUCUGUUUUUUUUUUUAGCUUUUGCCCCUUUUUUGCUUCACGGAUUUCUUGUAUAUGCUCUUCAGAGUGUUCUGGUUUGCCUGAAUUGAAACUAGCUGAUAUAUAUGAGUCAUUUAAAAUUGAAGGAAAAAAUAACUAAAAUUAUUUCUUGAGCUACCCAAUACUACGUGUCUUACAUACAUGAUUCACUAAAUAUAACCACUACCGUAUUCAGGUACACAAUAUUCCCAUUUCA